rnacentral:rRNA from 1 species
CCUACGGGGGGCAGCAGUGGGGAAUAUUGGACAAUGGGGGAAACCCUGAUCCAGCGACGCCGCGUGAGUGAAGAAGUAUUUCGGUAUGUAAAGCUCUAUCAGCAGGGAAGAAAAUGACGGUACCUGAUUAAGAAGCCCCAGCUAACUACGUGCCAGCAGCCGCGGUAAUACGUAGGGGGCAAGCGUUAUCCGGAUUUACUGGGUGUAAAGGGAGCGUAGACGGUGAUGCAAGUCAGAAGUGAAAGCCCGGGGCUCAACUCCGGGACUGCUUUUGAAACUGUGCGACUGGAGUGCAGGAGAGGUAA